UUUACAAUUCCGACGGGGACGGAUUCCGACGGCCGUGCCAGAGCUUCAAUCCAUGAGAUCGUCAGAGAGCCGAGCGAUAAUCAUCAACCCGACCGGAGAGUUACAGGCACAGUCACCAAAAGCUCUUUCCUUUCCUCCCCGUUCACAGUCAUCUCGCAGAUUCCUUUCGUCUUGCUUCUCCAUCAGAGCGCAUUGAACCCUUUGCAAUUCAUCGUGAAUUUGUCGUCUCGAAGCUGUCAAUUCCUCUCCUUCUGUUCCGUGUCUUUGACUUUCUUCUUCUUUGAUGCGACUGGAAAUGCGGUUUUAGCUGAAACCUUCCCCUCUGUCAAGAGGUUUUGUCUGCUCGAGCAGUUAUACUGUACGCUUUCUGCUUGCAUCCUGCUUGUUCGUCGAACAAAGCUGUGCGGCUGUGACUUGCUGUAUGGUUAGGAAGAAGUGAAUCAAAUUGCAUAACAGUGUUCUCAUUAGCAACACAAGAGGUUGGUGCUUUCUGGGCAAAUGGAUCAUCCGCAGGGACAAGAAGUCUAAAUGCUCGUGUGAUGCAAGAUUAGCUGCAAAGAGAAAAAUGGCUAUCCGGAGUAAUAACAAGAAUGUUGUGUCAUGGAAGAGGAGAGAACUUCCAUUUUUGGUUCUCUAUGCGAUUGCUUUUUACGUGAUCAUCAUUCGUAGAUCUCUGCAACUCUCUCAUGAUCAUUACUCCAAACUCUACGGGUUGCGACCGGGUUUUCUUGCUAAUCGACUCAAUGAUGUCUCAGAUGCACAAUGGAGAAACUUCCGUGGGAACUUGCCCAUUCUUACUUUUGUUUUUGGAAUUUUUGCAUUGACUGCUAAUAUUAUGAGAGCAUGUUUUGGACUGAAAGCGAGGGGAAUGUCGUACAUUUGGCUUUUUCUUUCUUCAGCUUACCUGGUAUACCUGCAUGGAGCUUGCAUUAUAUUUGUCAUGGCAAUUGCUUCCCUGAAUUAUCUUCUCGUCAAGAUAUUUGCCAGGACAAAAUACUUCCUACCACUAUUAUGGAUCUUCAACAUAUUCUUUCUGAUAUGUAAUCGUGUUUAUGAUGGAUAUUCAUUCUCCAUGUUUGGGGCCCAUUGGCAGUACUUGGACAAUUUCCGGGGUACUUUUCGGUGGCAAAUUUGCUUUAACUUUGUUAUUUUGCGCAUGGUGAGCUUUGGCUAUGAUUACCGGUGGUCAAUUCUUGGUUCUCAUUUCAACCACGAGAAACAUGUUGAACAUUGCUACAUUUGUAAAUCAGGAAAAGCAUGCUACCAAUUUCUACAGGGAAAAAGUGUGACGAGUGACAAGUUUUCCCUCAGCAUAUACCUCUGCUAUUUGGUGUAUGCGCCCCUCUAUAUUGCUGGACCGAUUAUUAGCUUUAAUGCAUUUGCUUCACAGCUGGAGGCACCACAGAGAAAUUACUCGGUCAAAGACAUGGCUUUAUAUGGGAUAAGGUGGCUAUAUAGUCUUUUCUUGAUGGAACUGAUGACGCACCUGCUCUACUAUAAUGCUUUUGCCAUCAGUGGCAUAUGGAGACAGUUAUCACCCAUGGACGUAUUCAUCAUCGGGUAUGGGGUCUUAAACUUUAUGUGGUUAAAGUUCUUCCUGAUCUGGCGCUAUUUUCGGCUCUGGUCACUGAUAUGUGGCGUUGAGGCACCUGAGAACAUGCCAAAGUGCAUCAAUAAUUGCUACAACUUGGAAAGUUUUUGGAAAAAUUGGCACGCCUCUUUCAAUAAAUGGCUUGUAAGGUACAUGUACAUUCCCCUAGGAGGUUCUCAAAGAAAGCUGCUCAACGUUUGGGUAGUAUUCACCUUUGUCGCAUUGUGGCAUGACCUAGAGUGGAAGCUUCUUUCAUGGGCAUGGUUGACUUGCUUGUUCUUUGUCCCCGAAUUGAUAUUGAAGUCAGCAGCAAAUGCUUUCAAGAUCGAAAGUGCUCUUGGGGAGUUAUUUUUCCGUGAAGUCAGUGCACUUGCCGGUUCAGUCACAAUCACUUGUCUUAUGGUUGCGAAUCUUGUUGGCUUUGUUAUUGGACCAUCUGGCAUCAAUUGGUUGAUUUCUCGAUUCCUCGGCAGAGAAGGUCGAUUUUUAUUCCAUUGAAAGCUCAGAUCAGUUUCAGAACCAAGUACGAAUUCCCAACGGUAUUCUAAUCUUGCAGGACUCCCUGUCCUCCUUGGCUUGUUUGUGACGUUCUAUGUUGGGACAAAGCUCAUGUUCCAUAUUGAGGAUGCCAAAAGAAGAGCUCACUGACUUCAAACUUUAGACUGCCGCUUUUUCCCGACCAAAUAUCAGAACGUGGGACGAAUUAUAUUAACUUGCAAAGAGAUGAAGCUGCUGCUUCGGGAUCAAUUGACAAGUUCAAGAAUCAAGACACUCUAGGAAGCAGUAGGCUUGAGUAGCUGGUGCUAGUCUGAGAAUUUACUGUUCCGACCAUCGUUAGUCCGUUCAUGUCUGGAUGCUACUGUACUAUUGACUGCUGCAUUGUAUAAACUUGCCGGAAUAAAAUUCUAAUCGACUCUUUUCCCUCUCCA